rnacentral:rRNA from 1 species
CUGCCCCUGUCAGGGGGACAACCCGCCGAAAGGCGGGCUAAACCCGCGUACAUGCCACCGGGGCAUCCCGGAGGCAGGAAAGGCUUCGGCCGGACAGGGAUGGGCAUGCGGCGCAUUAGGCAGUAGGCGGGGUAACGGCCCACCUAACCGACGAUGCGUAGGGGUUCUGAGAGAAAGGUCCCCCACACUGGUACUGAGACACGGACCAGACUCCUACGGGAGGCAGCAGUGAGGAAUAUUGGUCAAUGGUCGGGAGACUGAACCAGCCAAGCCGCGUGAGGGAGGAAGGUACAGAGUAUCGUAAACCUCUUUUGUCAGGGAACAAAGACUGGGACGCGUCCCCGGAUGAGUGUACCUGAAGAAAAAGCAUCGGCUAACUCCGUGCCAGCAGCCGCGGUAAUACGGAGGAUGCGAGCGUUAUCCGGAUUUAUUGGGUUUAAAGGGUGCGCAGGCGGUCUGUUAAGUCAGCGGUCAAAGCCCGGGGCUCAACCCCGGCCCGCCGUUGAAACUGGCAGUCUCGAGUUGGAGAGAAGUAUGCGGAAUGCGCGGUGUAGCGGUGAAAUGCAUAGAUAUCGCGCAGAACUCCGAUUGCGAAGGCAGCAUGCCGGCUCCACACUGACGCUGAGGCACGAAAGCGUGGGUAUCGAACAGGAUUAGAUACCCUGGUAGUCCACGCAGUAAAC